UACGUAGGGUGCAAGCGUUAAUCGGAAUUACUGGGCGUAAAGCGCGCGCAGGCGGCGGUGCUGGCCCGGCGUGAAAGCCCCCGGCUCAACCGGGGAGGGUCGUCGGGGACCGCACCGCUUGAGGGCGGUAGGGGCUGGUGGAAUGCCUGGUGUAGUGGUGAAAUGCGUAGAGAUCAGGCGGAACACCCGUGGCGAAGGCGGCCAGCUGGGCCGUCCCUGACGCUGAGGCGCGAAGGCGUGGGGAGCGAACGGGG
rnacentral:rRNA from 1 species